UACGUAUGGAGCAAGCGUUAUCCGGAUUUACUGGGUGUAAAGGGAGCGUAGGCGGUGCUUUAAGUCUGAUGUGAAAACCCAAGGCUCAACCAUGGGAUUGCAUUGGAAACUGGAGUACUAGAGUGUCGGAGAGGUAAGUGGAAUUCCUAGUGUAGCGGUGAAAUGCAUAGAUAUUAGGAGGAACACCAGUGGCGAAGGCGGCUUACUGGACGACUACUGACGCUGAGACUCGAAAGCGUGGGGAG
rnacentral:rRNA from 1 species